UACGUAGGCAGCAAGCGUUGUUCGGAUUCACUGGGCGUAAAGGGUGCGUAGGUGGUGAGGUAAGUCGGAUGUGAAAUCUCCGAGCUCAACUCGGAAAUGGCAUUGGAAACUACCUUGCUUGAGGGUUGGAGGGGGGACUGGAAUACUUGGUGUAGCAGUGAAAUGCGUAGAUAUCAAGUGGAACACCAGUGGCGAAGGCGAGUCCCUGGACAACUCCUGACACUGAGGCACGAAAGCUAGGGGAGCAAACAGG
rnacentral:rRNA from 1 species